rnacentral:lncRNA from 1 species
AUAAUAUGCACUUUUUAAAAUAUGCUUCUAGGACUAGCAGACAUGAAUCCAGUAAUAGUCAACUUGGUAUAUUUUCCAAUUCUGAAAAAAUCAAGUACCCAAAACCACUUAAUGGCAAAGCAUUCAUUCAGCAGUGUAUUCGACAACUCUAUGAGUUUCUUACAGAAAACGGUUAUGUAUAUAGUGUACCCAUGAAGUCUCUGCAAGCUCCAUCUAUUAAAGACUUCCUAAAGAGCUUCGCCUUUCUUUAUGGCUUUCUGUGCCCAUCAUAUGAACUUCCUGAUACAAAAUGUGAAGAAGAUGUCCCAAGAAUUUUUAAAACACUUGGGUAUCCCUUCACACUGUCCAAGAGCCCCAUGUAUACAGUGGGAGCCCCUCACACGUGGCCUUACAUCGAGGCUGCCUUGGUGUGACUGCAUCAAGAUUCAUACUGCCAUGAAAGAAAGCUCACCUUUAUUUGAUGAUGGGCAGCUCUGGGGAGAAGAAACUGAAGAUGGAAUUAAACACAAUAAGAAUGCUUCUUGGUGAAAAUAACUAAUACGUUCUCUCAAGAACCGUCUGAUGUCAUUGAGGAAACUGAAAGCUUCAUUACAAGCAAAUGUUCAAAACUAUAAAGCUGAACAGCAACAGAUGUGGAAUGAGGAAUUGAAAUAUGCCAGAGGCAAAGAGGCGAUUGAAGCGCAGCUAGCCAAGUACCACAAGUUGGCUAGAAAAUUAAAGCUUAUCCCCAAAGGUGCUGAGAAUUCCAAAGGUUACGACUUUGAAAUUAAGUUUAAUCCUGAGGCACCUCUCAAAGAACUCUUGAAUGAAAGCGAAGAAAAAAAUUAACAAAGCUCUGAAUAAAAAGAGGGCUCUGGAGGAUACUUUAGAACAAGUUUUAUCCAAGCUGAACACCAUGAAAAUGGAAAGCAAGAAUACUGUGAAGAUGCUGAAGGAAGAGAUUCAAAAGCUGGAUGACCUUUACCAACAAACAGUGAAGAUAACCAGUUAACUGUGCAGACCACAACUGAAGAAAGAAGAAAGGUGGGAAACAACUUACAACGUCUUUUGGAGAUGGUCGCCACACAUGUAGGGUCUUUGGAGAAACAUCUUGAAGAGGAAAAUGCUAAAGCCGACAGAGAGUACGAAGAAUUCAUGUCUGAAGAUCUGGAAAACAUCAGAGAGAUCGAAGAGAAGUAUAAGAGAAAUGCUGCCCAACUUAAGGCUCCCGACAAAUGAAGAUAAUCUUUCAUAGACAUAACAUAGUAUUUUAUCCCCAAAUUAUGAUAACAUGGUAAAUUGACCUUUUGGACAUAUCAGACAGUUAAUAAAGUGUACUAGUAAAGUGUGGGUGUCCCCUCCCAUUUCUGUGACUCACUU